rnacentral:rRNA from 1 species
AGUGAACGCUGGCGGCGUGCCUAAUACAUGCAAGUCGAACGGAGUGGCGCAAGGGUGAGUAAUGUAUAGAUAAUCUGCCCUACACUAGAGGACAACAGUUGGAAACGGCUGCCAAAACCCUAUAGUGUAGGAUGAGGCUAUAUUGUAUCAGCUAGUUGGUGAGGUAAUGGCUCACCAAGGUUAUGACGCAUAACUGGUCUGAUAGGAUGAUCAGUCACACUGGAACUGCGACACGGUCCAGACUCCUACGGGAGUCAGCAGUAGGGAAUAUUGCUCAAUGGGGGAAACCCUGAAGCAGCAACGCCGCGUGGAGGAUGACACUUUUCGGGGCGUAAACUCAUUUUGUUAGGGAAGCGGUACCUAACGAAUAAGCACCGGCUAACUCCGUGCCAGCAGCCGCGGUAAUUC